rnacentral:rRNA from 1 species
AUUGAACGCUAGCGGCAGGCCUAAUACAUGCAAGUCGAACGAUAGUCUUGUCUUCGGAUGAGAUGAGAGUGGCGCACGGGUGAGUAACGCGUACACGACCUACCUUACAGAGGGGGAUAGCCUUGGGAAACUGGGAGUAAUCCGCCAUAGUGUAUAUGAUCUGCAUGGAUGGUAUACUAAAGCUUCGGCGCUGUAAGAUGGGUGUGCGUCUGAUUAGCUAGUUGGUAGGUAAGGGCCUACCAAGGCGACGAUCAGUAGGGGCGUGAGAGCGUGAUCCCCCACACGGGUACUGAGACACGGACCCGACUCCUACGGGAGGCAGCAGUAAGGAAUAUUGGUCAAUGGACGAAAGUCUGACCCAGCCAUGCCGCGUGAAGGAUGAAGGGGCUCUGCCUUGUAAACUUCUUUUGCAUGGGACGAAAAACUUAAUUUAUUAAGGACUGACGGUACCAUGAGAAUAAGCACCGGCUAACUCCGUGCCAGCAGCCGAC